rnacentral:rRNA from 1 species
GCAUAUCAAUAAGCGGAGGAAAAGAAACUAACAAGGAUUCCCCCUAGUAACUGCGAAGUGAAGCGGGAAAAGCUCAAAUUUAAAAUCUGGCAGUCUUUGAUUGUCCUGAGUUGUAAUCUAGAGAAGUGUUAUCCGCGUUGGACCGUGUACAAGUCUCCUGGAAUGGAGCGUCAUAGAGGGUGAGAAUCCCGUCUUUGACACGGACUACCAAGGCUUUGUGAUGCGCUCUCAAAGAGUCGAGUUGUUUGGGAAUGCAGCUCAAAAUGGGUGGUAAAUUCCAUCUAAAGCUAAAUAUUGGCGAGAGACCGAUAGCGAACAAGUACCGUGAGGGAAAGAUGAAAAGAACUUUGGAAAGAGAGUUAAACAGUACGUGAAAUUGCUGAAAGGGAAACGCUUGAAGUCAGUCGCGUCGUUCAGAACUCAACCUUACUUUUGUGGGGUGUAUUUUCUGUUUGACGGGUCAGUAUCAAUUUUGACCGUUGGAUAAAGUCCUUUGGAAUGUGGCUUCUUCGGAAGUGUUAUAGCCUUUGGUCGCAUACAACGGUUGGGAUUGAGGUACUCAGCACGCUGCAAAGCCGGGUUUCGACCACGUUCGUGCUUAGGAUACUGGCAUAAUGGCUUUAAUCGACCCGUCUUGAAACACGGACCAAGGAGUCUAACAUGCCUGCGAGUGUUUGGGUGGAAAACCCGAGCGCGUAAUGAAAGUGAAAGUUGAGAUCCCUGUCGCGGGGAGCAUCGACGCCCGGACCAGACCUUUUGUGACGGAUCCGCGGUAGAGCAUGUAUGUUGGGACCCGAAAGAUGGUGAACUAUGCCUGAAUAGGGUGAAGCCAGAGGAAACUCUGGUGGAGGCUCGUAGCGAUUCUGACGUGCAAAUCGAUCGUCAAAUUUGGGUAUAGGGGGCGAAAGACUAAUCGAACCAUCUAGUAGCUGGUUCCUGCCGA